CAAGAUACUUCUUUUCCAACGACUUUUCUUCUCCAUCUUCUUUAACCCUAACCCUAAUCUUCUUUCUCUUCCUCUUCCCUACUCAACAUGUCUCACUUCGGAAGGUCCGGUCCUCCAGACAUUACAGAUACCUAUUCGCUUCUCGUGCUCAACAUCACCUUUCGUACCACUGCGGAUGACCUCUACCCGCUUUUCCAUAAGUAUGGGAAGGUUGUGGAUAUCUUCAUCCCCAGAGAUCGAAGGACUGGUGAUUCAAGAGGCUUUGCAUUUGUGCGUUACAAGUAUGCAGAUGAGGCCCAGAAAGCAGUGGAGAGGCUAGAUGGCACUAUGGUUGAUGGACGAGAGAUAACUGUUCAGUUUGCCAAAUAUGGUCCAAAUGCAGAGAGGAUUCACAAAGGGAAGAUCAGUGAAGCAUUUCCAAAGUCAAGAUACAGGUCUAGAAGUCGAAGUCCAAGGAGACGACAUCGGGAUGAUUACAGAGAUAAGGAUUAUAGGAGGAGAAGCAGAAGCAGAAGCAGAAGCAGAAGCUUGGACAAGAACGAUCGUGAUAGGCGUGGAAGAGAAAGGGAGAGGGAAAGAGACCAUCGCAGACGAAGCCGGAGCAUCAGUCCUAGGCGUCCUAGUCCUGAUUACUCAAAGGGAAGGGGAAGAGGACGCUAUGAUGACGAGCGGAGAAGUCGUAGCCUCAGCCGUAGCCGAAGUCGUGGCCGUAGUCGUUCUGUGGACAGUGGUUCUCCUGGUAGACGAAGCCCUAGUCCAAGAAGGAGUCCAUCUCCUCGAAGGAGCCUCUCUCCUCGAAGGAGUCCAUCUCCCAGGGAAGAAAGUCCUGAAAGAAAUGGUAAUGGUGUUGGAAGGUCUCCAACUUCUAGGAGUGUUUCACCAAGAGGUCGACCUGCUGAUUCACGAAGCCCAUCACCACAAAAUUCAGAUGAUAAGUGAAUACGGAUGGGAGGAGAACUGUGGACAUAACCAAACAGUGCAGGAAUGAAUGCUUUGAGGACUUGUUGAUUAAAAAUGUUAUCAGACUAUAAAUUCUAGUUUUGUUAUGUUCGGGGUAAGAGUGACUGGCGCCUGAUUGGCGGAUGUUGAUUUUGUGGCUGUUGAUGCUGUUUCUAUGUGAUAGAUGGGUGUUCGUGACUUUGAUGCUGGUUGCAGCAGUUUGCUGACUUUAUCAGUAUGAUUGUCUAUGAAGUAUGAUGUUGCUGUGGGAAGUUUCUUAACUAAUAUUCACUGGAUAGAAUUGUUGGUAAGGUUUUUGGUCACGUUUAAAUGUUUUUUAAAAACUUGAUAAUACGUUAGGAUUUGAUGUUUGACCUGAUUAUCCAUUCUGGUCUAUCCAAGUUUUGAAAGCACUUCACCCGCAAGGAGAUCUAGAGGCCUUGAUAUAUAGGUUUGACCCACCUAUGUUGAUCGAUUUUUUUAACACAUAGCUGAUGAUGCAUUUGAGAGGUGUUAUCGAUUGAUUUUAAUGGUGAAAGUUGGUUCAAGAAAAUUUAGCUGCAGGUUUGAACUUUAAGCCAUCGUAACAUAAGUUUAUAGUUUUUCUAUGUUAUUUGAAGGGGUGGCUUCAAACUCACAGAUUUACUAUCCCAAACAUUUAGAUCAAUCUCUUGCUGCUUGAUGUGGUGACUGACUGUAUUGUAGCUUUCGGAUUACACAAUUGGUGCUGUGCUGUUUGAUAGCAGAUACGUUUGUUGAUGUACGAUAGGACAUGAGUUCGAUUGGCUGUUGCUGCCCUUGUGGGGGGGUGAGGCUGGCAAUGAUGCUUCAGUUGCUUGGCAAUGGCUGUAUCGAUGCUUGAUUGAUUUCCUUUAAAUAGGAAGGGAUCUGCAUGUAUAAAAUGUCUUAACAUCUCUCCUGUAAGAAAAUUUAUUUAAUAAGAAUUAAAUUAUAAAUUUGCAUAAUUCGGUUCCAUUGCUCA